AUGGUAACACAGAUCAAGCACAUGGAAACAAAACAUCACAGCCAUUCAAUCAACAAAACCCUAGAUCUAACGGUCCAGGAUGAAAGAAAAAUGAACCGGACCGGUUCAGGUGUCUAUAUAAACAUAUGGACACCGGUCCAAUUCAUUUCUUUUUCUUCUUUCUCUCUCUAAGUCUCUCCUAGUGAGAGAAGCUCUCACUUCUCUCUUCUUUCCUCUCGCCGGAUUCUGGAAAAAGGUGGAAGAUCUUCAUCUUCUCCGGUGAGGUUUGUUCCUCCGGCGUGGUGGCCGGCCGCCCAAGGGCGGCGGCGCCGCCGCCGGAGUUGAACGAACUUCCCCGUUUUCAAUUUUUUUUUAUGUUUUCAGAUAUCCUUUUUUGUCUACUUCUCGAAUCCGAGCUUAGAUUUUUAAAAUAAAGUUCCAAUCGGAGUAGAUCUAAGUUUGAACCUUGCGAAAUCUUUGGAAACGAAAAGGAAAGGAAAAGUGAAGAAAGCGAAGGAUUACCUCUUCGCUGUUGAUGCCUCUGUUUUACGGUCUGGAGUCGCGCGCGCUCUGCGUGUUUCACGGUUCCGAUUUGGUUUCUUCACCCUCCUUCUCUUCUCUUUCUUUUCACGUCUUCUUCGUGAUCGUGCUUAAGUCCGUCACCUAAUGGUGAUGGAUUCGCACUUGUAUUGCGAAGAGGCUGAUUCGGUGAUGAUGAUUCCGUAUUGGAUCUUUGAGAAUCGCGAGAGAUCUUGUUGAUUCUUUGUUGAUUUUUGCACUGAUUUGUGAUGUUUGUGUUGAUUUGUGUUGAUUUGUGAUGGUUUGUGAUGAUUUGUGUUGAUUCGUGAUGAUUCUGGUGGAAUUUGGAAACGGUUAGGGUUUGAUUGUUCUUGGUGUUCUUUGUGAUUUCUGGAAAUUGUUGAGUUUUGAUCUUUGAG
rnacentral:lncRNA from 1 species